AAAUUGAAGAGUUUGAUCAUGGCUCAGAUUGAACGCUGGCGGCAGGCCUAACACAUGCAAGUCGAGCGGAAACGAGUUGUCUGAACCUUCGGGGAACGAUAGCGGCGUCGAGCGGCGGACGGGUGAGUAAUGCCUAGGAAAUUGCCCUGAUGUGGGGGAUAACCAUUGGAAACGAUGGCUAAUACCGCAUGAUGCCUACGGGCCAAAGA
rnacentral:rRNA from 2 species